UACGGAGGGAGCUAGCGUUGUUCGGAAUUACUGGGCGUAAAGCGCGCGUAGGCGGCUUUGUAAGUUAGAGGUGAAAGCCCGGGGCUCAACCCCGGAAUUGCCUUUAAGACUGCAUCGCUUGAAUCCGGGAGAGGUGAGUGGAAUUCCGAGUGUAGAGGUGAAAUGCGCAGAUAUCAGGAGGAACACCGGUGGCGAAGGCGGGUCUCUGGGCCGAUACUGACGCUGAGGAGCGAAAGCGUGGGGAGCAAACAGG
rnacentral:rRNA from 1 species